AUUGAACGCUAGCGGGAUGCUUUACACAUGCAAGUCGAACGGCAGCGCGGACUUCGGUCUGGCGGCGAGUGGCGAACGGGUGAGUAAUGUAUCGGAACGUGCCCAGUAGCGGGGGAUAACUACGCGAAAGCGUAGCUAAUACCCCAUACGCCCUACGGGGGAAAGCAGGGGAUCGUAAGACCUUGCACUAUUGGAGCGGCCGGUAUCGGAUUAGCGCGUUGGUGAGGUAACGGCUCACCAAGGCGACGACGCGUAGCUGGUAUGAGAGGGUGACGGGCAACAUCGGGACUGAGAUACGGCCCAGACGCCGACGGGAGGCAGCAGUGGGGAAGAUGGCACAAGGGGUGGAAGCAGGAUGCAGCAACGCCGGGUGCGGGAGGACGGCCUUAGGGUUGUAAACCGCUGGCGCUCAUGACGAAGCUUGGUGUGACGGUAGUGGGUAAAGAAGCACCGGCUAAAUACGUG
rnacentral:rRNA from 1 species